AUGCCUCAGUAACGGCGAAGUGAAGCGGCAAAAGCUCAAAUUUGAAAUCUGGCUCCAUGCGGAGCCCGAGUUGUAAUUGGAGAGGACACUUCGGGUGCGGCCACGGCAUAAGUUCCUUGGAACAGGACGUCAUAGAGGGUGAGAAUCCCGUCUUUGGCUGCUGGACCGCGCCCAUGCGAAGUUCCUUCGACGAGUCGAGUUGUUUGGGAAUGCAGCUCUAAGUGGGUGGUAAAUUUCAUCUAAAGCUAAAUAUUGGCCGGAGACCGAUAGCGCACAAGUAGAGUGAUCGAAAGGUUAAAAGCACCUUGAAAAGGGAGUUAAAUAGCACGUGAAAUUGUUGAAAGGGAAGCGCUUGCAACCAGACUCGGUCGUGGGGGCUCAGCGGGCAUGCGUGCCUGUGUACUCCCCCAUGCUCCGGGCCAGCAUCAGUUCUGGCGGUUGGUUAAAGGCCUCUGGAAUGUAUCGUCCUCCGGGACGUCUUAUAGCCAGGGGCGCAAUGCGGCCAGCCGGGACUGAGGAACGCGCUUCGGCACGGAUGCUGGCAUAAUGGUUGUAAGCGGCCCGUCUUGAAACACGGACCAAGGAGUCUAACAUCCACGCGAGUGUUCGGGUGUCAAACCCGUGCGCGCAGUGAAAGCGAACGGAGGUGGGAGCCCGCAAGGGUGCACCAUCGACCGAUCCUGAAGUCUUCGGAUGGAUUUGAGUAAGAGCGUGGCUGUUGGGACCCGAAAGAUGGUGAACUAUGCCUGAAUAGGGUGAAGCCAGAGGGAAACUCUGGUGGAGGCUCGCAGCGGUUCUGACGUGCAAAUCGAUCGUCAAAUUUGGGUAAUAGGGCGAAAGACUAAUCGA
rnacentral:rRNA from 1 species